GACUCCUCUUAAUUAGGUGCUUUUAUAGCAAAAUGUAACGUGUUAACAUUAGAGUAUUAUUUAAGGCAAAAUCUAUUCCUUUUUUUUAUCAGCAAUUCACAAGAAAAUUUGGCAAUAAUAUUCAAAGAAGAGCAUGUCAACUUCACUGUUGUCCAAAUAAAUAUAAGAGAGAGAAGCCCAAUGUUUCCGCUUGGACUAGACAGUAGACACUGGCGGUUGUAUCUUCCGGUGAAAACUACAAAGAAAACUGUGGCUGCUUUUUUUCCUUCUUUUUAAACUUGAUUCCCGAUUAUAUUAUUUUUUUUCUUUGAAAAAGUACACUACCGUGAAUAUUUUCAUCAUAAACAAAAAGGUUAGGAACUAUGCUGUAUUUUUUUUGUUUAGAGGAAGAAGUUGUGAGGUGUUUUUGUGAGUUCAUUUCUCCUCAUAUUGUUGUUAUUGAUAUUGUUGUAGUUGAAUCUAAUUUAUAAUUUUAGGAUUAUAAACAGUACUAAUUCUUAGUUGAAUUUUUUAUUUUACGGAACAUACUAUGUGAGGACAUUUUCGAAUAUGGACAAAGUUAAUGUAAGAAUUUACUUAUGAGUUUUUCAUCUGCCUUGGAGUGAAGCUUGAGAGGUUUUGAUGUUUUAGUUAUGGGAUUUUAAAAUUUUUAAUCUUGUUAUAGUGUGACUUGCGUAUUUUUUAAGAUCUCAACAUUGUCAAUUUUUUUUUAUUUCAUGCUCAUUUUGUCAUUUCCACAUUGAUGUGUUGGGUUUGGGGAGGGAAAAUAUCCUUUCUUUCUUUCUUUCUUUCUUUCUUUCUUUCUUUCUUUGUUUGUUCUCCUUGUGUUGGGUUUGGGGAGGGAAAAUAUCCUUUCUUUCUUUCUUUCUUUCUUUCUUUCUUUCUUUCUUUCUUUCUUUGUACUCCUUCCAUCCCAAAAUAGUUGUCACGUUUCACUUCUUGAGAGUCAAUUUGACUAAUUUUGAAGCUAAAUUAGAUUAGAUUAAUUUUUUUUAGAUUAAAUUUGAAUAUUCAAAAACUAUUCGAAAAAUACUAUAAGUUGCAAUUUGUCUCAUAUUACUAUGAUGAAAAACAAAUUUUAAAUAUUGAUCAAAGUUCAUUUAGUUCGACUCUCAAAAAACAAAUUGUGACAAAUAUUUUUGGACAGAGAGAGUAAUAUGAAAUAGGAAAAUUUCCUUGAAAAAAAUAAAAGUGAUAAAUAAUUGAAAAGUUGUUACUUUUUUUUUUUUUACUUAAAUAUAAGUACAUAAUUGAGAUUGAUUGUAUUGAUAUACAUUAAAGAACACAGCUUUAUUCUGAUAGUGUUUUCAUAUUUCUGGAAUUACAAAUGAAUGAAGAUUGUUUCUACUUAUAUGCAUGAAAUCUCAAGAACAGUUUCAUCUUGCUAAUCCUAAUUAUUUCGUAUUGCCGGUUAACACUAACAUCAUUCUCAGUGUAAAAUGAUUAUUUGAAACAUGUUUGAUGAGUUAUAGCAUUUCAUAGUUUUGAUGAUUUGACAAACGGGCCAAGGACCAGGUCCUCCAUCAGGUCCCAUGGGAGUACUGCACGGUACUUAACAGCUGUAAAGCUGCUGUACUGUUCAGGCAGAACUGCAGCAUCACAACUGGCUAUAUUUCUCUCAAGUGUGGCGGCUACCUUUCUCAAGGUGUGCAGAAUAACAAGAUCUCAACAAUCAGAGGGACCAUUUCCUACCACUAAAGACAUCUGAAGUCUCUAGGAUAGUUGAGUCUUGUUUCAUGUUCUUAAUUGGUAUUCCUACACUGCUUGUCAAGAAGCAUCAUAGUAGGACAAAUUUCAAUUUUUGUAACUUUGUUUUCUUGGCUAGAGUUAGCUAAGUAUUAGCUAAGUCGUUGGCUAGAGUUAGUCAAGACUUGGAGCUUUGCAAUAGAGUUAUUGUAAAAGUGCUUACAAUGGGUGUAUCAUAAGGGUUAGGGAUUAAGAGUUUAAUUCCUAGGUUGCAAUAGGUUGUAAUCUGAAGUUGCUCAGUUUAGUGAAGUUGGAAAUCCUACUAGGGUAGGUCGUGGUUUUUAAUCCCUUGAGCAAGGAGUUUUCCACGUAAAUAUCUUGCCUUAUUUACUUUCCAUCAUUAUCUAUGAAAACAAUUCAGGGACUAGGUUCUAUCAAUGUUCUUUAUAUUCUUCAGUUUAUAUUUUGUUACUCAAUGCAUCCGUUAAAAAUUUUAUG